GACGAACGCUGGCGGCGUGCUUAACACAUGCGAGUCGAACGGAAAGGCCCUGCUUUUGUGGGGUGCUCGAGUGGCGAACGGGUGAGUAACACGUGAGUAACCUGCCCUUGACUUUGGGAUAACUUCAGGAAGCUGGGGCUAUACCGGAUAGGAGCUCCUGCUGCAUGGUGGGGGUUGGAAAGUUUCGGCGGUUGGGGAUGGACUCGCGGCUUAUCAGCUUGUUGGUGGGGUAGUGGCUUACCAAGGCUUUGACGGGUAGCCGGCCUGAGAGGGUGACCGGCCACAUUGGGACUGAGAUACGGCCCAGACUCCUACGGGAGGCAGCAGUGGGGAAUAUUGCACAAUGGGCGGAAGCCUGAUGCAGCAACGCCGCGUGCGGGAUGACGGCCUUCGGGUUGUAAACCGCUUUCGCCUGUGACGAAGCGUGAGUGACGGUAAUGGGUAAAGAAGCACCGGCUAACUACGUG
rnacentral:rRNA from 1 species